UUGACCUCUGACCUCAAAUCAGGUAGGAUUACCCGCUGAACUUAAGCAUAUCAAUAAGCGGAAAG
rnacentral:rRNA from 1 species